GAGAAGCACCGCCUCACAGGAAAUAGAGGUUGGAGGGCAGGCCCACAGUUCCCGGGCUAUUUGAGCCUGCGGAGAUGCCUCAGUUCUGCGCACCUGCUUCUCUCACUGCUGGGACCUGUACGGCGGGGGCAGGUGGACGUGGGGGAGGGGACAGUCAAGUCAGCCUGAACCUGCACCUCAGUUAGGGCCUUCAGAGGAAAGAGCAAAGGCUCAGCACCAACUAAAUGUUGGAGUUUAGCAAUAGUGACAGUGUUAGGAAGGCUGCCUGGCUGGAUGCUGCCCCAUCUCUGCCAUCCCCAAGGUCCUUUAGAGAAGUUCCAUCUCGCCAAGUCGAACAAGGAUCUGUAUUCACAGUAUGAGUGAGCCCCCUGCAUUGGCCAUCUUCCCUGUUUUCUCGACCAGCACCAUCUACAGAAGCUGACAAUGACCAUUGGGUUUUCCAGUGGAUACCAGAACGCCCCUUCCUGCUGCCUGGAGGGAAGACAGGAUAACCGUUUGGCAGCAAGAGGCCAAACAGGAAGCUGGAGAAGAUGUGGGGAUGGUGGUAGUCCAAAGGAGGAGCCUUAACCUGAGCACCCACCUUAGGAGGCAGACCCACCCUCCCUGCCCCAGCGGGAGUGAAUGUUGCCCCUCCCCCCAGGUCCUCAGAUGCUCUCUCACACACCCCCUUGGGACCAGGUUUUUUCUCCCGGCCUACAACAGAUGGGUACCCCCUACUCUAACCUAAUACCUCAGUGAUUAGAACUGCUGACUCCUACCUCUCCUGCAGCCCCCAUGGCAGGCCCCUACAGAACAAAACAUAGUCACCUUAGACUCUGGCAUACUAAGGCCAGGCCCUAACCUGUGGGCCUUGCUUUCCUGCCAAUUUAUUAUGUAAUAAAAAUAUUGUUGAGCGAGCCCUGAUGGCUUGGUGGUUAAGUUCAGCACGCUCCACUUCAGCAGCCUGGAUUCAGAUCCCAGGUGCAGAAUCACACCACUCGUCUGUCAGUAGCCAUGCUGUGGCGGUGGCUCACAUAGAACUUACAACUAUGUACUGGGGCUUUGGAGAGGGGGGAAAAAAGAGAGAGGAAGAUUGCCAACAGAUGUUAGCUCAGGGCAAAUCUUUCCCAGCAAAAAGAAGAAAAAAUAGAGAGAGAGAGAGUUAAAUAGUAUUCACGUGUCUAAAUAUUUUUUCAAAAUGCAACAUUAAAUCGAAUCCCCCCUUCUUUCUCCUGCUUUUCCCCUUUGUAUCUUUCCUGGGACCAAAAUGAUAGAGAGAAGCUGAGAAGGAAGGAAAGGCUGGGGAAAGUGUAACAAUGUCCAUUUCUCAGUGGAGAGCGACCAUGAACCACGCUACACACUUAUGGGUAGAGUGUUUGGGAGCACAAAUACCCCUGCUCCCCCAACUAAGAAAAUGGCUUCCCUGAGCACAGAACACAGCACUCGAGUAGGGGGGGCUUUUCCCCUACUCUAUUAGGACAUCAUAUAACAAAGGUUUACAGGUAAGAAAGAUCUUUGUGUAUAAUAAUAAAAACCCUAAAAUAGUUACAUUUCAGUUCGUCCAUGUACUCAACUAUUAUGCAGCUGUUAAAAAUGCAUUUGAAGGGGCUGGCCCCGUGGCCGAGUGGUUAAGUUCGUGCGCUCCGCUGCAGGCGGCCCAGUGUUUCGUUAGUUCGAAUCCUGGGCACGGACAUGGCACUGCUCAUCGGACCACGCUGAGGCGGCGUCCCACAUGCCACAACUAGAAGAACCCACAACGAAGAAUACACAACUAUGUGCCGGGGGGCUUUGGGGAGAAAAAGGAAAAAAUAAAAUCUUUAAAAAAAAAAAUGCAUUUGAAGACAUUUUUCAUGACAGGAGGAAAAAAGCAUAUUCCAACCCUGUAUGUGCAGUGAGUUCAUAAGCUUCUAAAGACACAUAAACACCAACAAUUCCAGAAGAGGUUGGAAUUAUGGCUGAUUUGUAUUUUGUUAUACGUUUUUUAUUUUCCACAGUGAAUUCAUAUUAUAAUCAGAAAAGAAAAUUCCAAAUUG
rnacentral:lncRNA from 1 species